GUACGGUUUUCCUUCAAAUUGUAUAAAUUUUUCGGCUUUUACUAAAAAUUUCUGUUGAGAGAAACAGUUAUAGGUUUAUGAUUAAUUCUUUAAUGCCUUGUUUUUACAAGGCU
rnacentral:snRNA from 1 species